rnacentral:rRNA from 1 species
AUUGAACGCUGGCGGCAGGCUUAACACAUGCAAGUCGAGCGGAGAGAGGUAGCUUGCUACUGAUCUUAGCGGCGGACGGGUGAGUAAUGCUUAGGAAUCUGCCUAUUAGUGGGGGACAACAUUUCGAAAGGAAUGCUAAUACCGCAUACGUCCUACGGGGGAAAGCAGGGGAUCUUCGGACCUUGCGCUAAUAGAUGAGCCUAAGUCGGAUUAGCUAGUUGGUGGGGUAAAGGCCUACCAAGGCGACGAUCUGUAGCGGGUCUGAGAGGAUGAUCCGCCACACUGGGACUGAGACACGGCCCAGACGCCUACGGGAGGCAGCAGUGGGGAAUAUUGGACAAUGGGCGCAAGCCUGAUCCAGCCAGGCCGCGUGUGUGAAGAAGGCCUUAUGGUUGUAAAGCACUUUAAGCGAGGAGGAGGCUACUUUAGUUAAUACCUAGAGAUAGUGGACGUUACUCGCAGAAUAAGCACCGGCUAACUCUGUG